ensembl:lncRNA
GAUUUAUUUAUUUUUUUAAAUUUCAGGACGGAACAUGUACAAAAUAGUUGACGUACACAACUGUGCACAAUUUUCAGAACCAGUUUUGGCUCGUGAGCACUACUUUCUGGCUGAAAUUACACAAAACCUUUGUCUUUUUCCUGCAUGUCCCAUGCAGAGCAGAGAUGCGGUUAAAGGUCAGACACAAUCAGAGGCCCAUUCCACAUCUCUCUAAAUAAGCUCAAGUAGAUAUCCAGUUCCCAUUCCACCCAGGAUAGUCCUCCUCCUCACUAAGAAGGUAGCAAGCUGGCAGGCAACGUACCUAGCUAAUACCUAUUGGCCCAAACAGGCUUCCAUCCUCAGCUACAACCUAAUGUUUAGCUGCCAGGAGAGGCCUCAAGGGUGGUUGAGGGGUAUGACGAAGUGUUUUAAAAAACAUAAUACAACUAAUAACUUUAAACGUUUGUUUUUUUAUACUAUCAAUAUUAUUAAAAGUUCAAAUAAAACUAAAAUAACACUUAGAUGAGCAUGCACAGACAUAUAGAUUGUGUGACAGAGGGAGGGAUUGUGAAUGUAACAAGGACGAAGGGCUGAGGCGUCAAACUCAUUCCAUGCAGGGCCUAGUGUUUUCAAACUCAACUCUAGACCUCAAAGCCAGUUCCACUGCAUUUUUCAUUGUUCCCCUCUAAUCAGGGACUGAUUUAGACCUGAGAUACCAGGUGUGUGCAAUUAAUUAUCAGGUAGAACAGAAAACCAGCAGGCUCGUAGAGUAAGAGUUGAAUAACUCUGGCCUAGUGGUUUUUGUUUUUUCCUUUCAAAUAAGACCUACACAACCAGGUGUGAGGAGUUCUUUACUAAUUAGUGACCUUAAUUCAUCAAUCAAGUACAAGGGAGAAGCGAAAACCUGGACACUCGGCCCUCCAUGGAAUGAGUUUGACACGUGGGCUGGGGUGUUGUGAGGUUUCCCGCUCUCCAACACACUAUAGACCAGUAAUGGGCAACUCCAGUCCUCGGUGGCCUGAUUGUUGUCACACUUUAGCCCAAGCUAACACACUGGACUCCAAUAAUCAACUAAUCAUGAUCUUCAGUUUAAGGCCAGGCACCACAACGCCAACCUGUUUUUCUCAGCUUCAGAAGCAUCUGCUUUUGAAUUGUGUGUAGUUAUCCUUAGAUACAUUCUCCAGACUUGCCCAGGGGGAAUUGUUGAUGUAACUUUUUAAAAUUCUCGAUAACAUUUUUUAAAAUGUUUUAUUAUACAAGUCUUCAGUAUUUUAAAGAUAAAAAGUUUAUCCAGAAUCUGCUCUGGACAAGUCCGGUCCUGGAGUGUCUUAAACUGAAACAAACGUUUAGGCAGAAUUCAUCCAGCAUCUAUAAAAAAUGAAUUUGUAUGGGAUGGGGAAAAAGUGGGACAACACUCCGGCCUCUGAGGACUGGAGUUGCCCAUCCCUGCAUCUAAUCCGACGGAGUGUCCACUUCCUGUUCCAACUACAAGUUGAGUUUCUUCAGCUGCUCGAACGUGAUGAAGAACUAAAUAGCUCUGGUUAAGGACAACAGAUGACGGUAGCCUUGAAGUAUAUGUAGUCUUGACAUUAUCUCUGCCCACACAAAAAUAAUCAUAAUACAUUUAAGACUUUACUGAAUAAAAUUAACAUUUGGUAUUAUUCAAUAUCAC